CAUAUGCAGAGAGAAAAUAAGAAGGGACAUUGUCACAGGUCUGUGAUAGGCUAUAGGCUGUAAGCUUUUUGAUCCCUUCACAAUGAUUUUGGAAUCAAUCCUAAAAAAAGAUUUAUGCUAGUCAGGUUUGUAUUUAAGAUGUUAUUUAGAACAUUUCUGUAGAUAAAAUAUAAUGCUUUUUUAGCAUGUGACAACCCGUGUAAUACGCUUUAGUCACGCAGGCGCCAUUUUGAAAUGAAAGCGAGGCUGAGGUGUGUAACCCCCGGAAGUCGCUAGUCAAAACAACAAUGCACAGGAUUUAAAUCGAUACAUGGGCAGAUGAAGACGUUGGACUUAAUUAUUAUUAUUAUUUAUUUUUUUAAAUGUUACUCGGCAAGUUAGUUAAGUACAAAUUCUUAUUUACAAUGACGGCCAACCCCGGCCAAACCCUAUCGACGCUGGGACAAUUGUGCGCCGCCCUAUGGGACUUCCAAUCACGACCGGUUGUGAUACAGUCUGUAGUGACGUCUCUAGCACUGAGAUGCAGUGCCUUAGACCGCUGCGCUACUCGGGAGCCCUGUCUGCCCAAGGGUAGUCAAACUAAGAGGUUACUGUAACUGGAUCGAGGGUUACAUUCACGAUGUACAAGGUGCAGUUCUACUCUGAAAGUCCAUUCAUCAUGGAGACUAAAUGCAACUGCAAAGCUGGCCCGGGACAGUGCAACCAUGCCCUCGGUUUACUGUAAACCAUAGCUCAUUACAUUCAAAUGAAACACCAACAGAAAGCUAAACAUGCUUGCCUCAAAAAUGGCACAUCCGACGUGUACGUCAGGCCUGCAGUCCAAACAUGUAAAUACUAUUAAAUUAUCGAAAGUAAAGCCACUGAGGAAAGGCAAUGCACCUGCCAACAAAGUCUGCAGGACUUGAGGGGAUUGUGCCAAAUAUGUAUUGUCCAGUCCCUACACCAUUGCCCAGUAAAUCGUUUGCUAGGAACCUUAUGCAAUAGGAAGCAACUGCCAGAUAUACACCUUGCUGGCCUCCAACUCAGAGCAUACUUUUUUUUGUGAAAUGCAACAAUUAUUUCCUUGAGAGUAUGAAAAGUUGGUAGACAUGAAGUCUAAGUUGGACCAAUACUUUUUUGAGCACUUCCUGCCAGCCCUUUGCAGGAAUAAAGAAAAAAUAAAUCACACUGGUUGGUGGACAGGUAUGUCUCUGGUCCACACUCCAGUCCAGUUGGUGGCGGUAAUGCACCUUAAAGUUGGUUGCCAACCACCAUAUAAAAUCCUCAAGAAGAAGGUGGAAAGGUGAUACCCUGGUGCCAUGGUAAUAAUAAAUAAUGUUGUAGUUUAUUCAGUGAUGUACAGGACUGGACUUUGAAAUGUUUGUAAUUCCAGUUACAUGAUUGAAGCUUAAAAUAUGUCUAUAAUUGAAGUUAGCCUAUUUGAUUGAAGCUUGAACUUUUAAUGAACUGUGAAAUUAUUGAUGCUGGAGACAUGUAUUUUGAUAAUUAAAUAGUCAUGUUUGAAAA